UACGGAGGGUGCGAGCGUUGUCCGGAAUCACUGGGCGUAAAGGGCGCGUAGGCGGCCACUGCAAGUCGGUUGUGAAAUCUCCGGGCUUAACCCGGAAAGGUCAAUCGAUACUGCAGGGCUAGAGUGCGGAAGGGGCAACUGGGAAUUCUCGGUGUAGCGGUGAAAUGCGUAGAUAUCGAGAGGAACACCUGCGGCGAAGGCGGGUUGCUGGGCCGACACUGACGCUGACAGCGCGAAAGCUAGGGGAGCGAACGGG
rnacentral:rRNA from 1 species